AUGAGGCGAACCGGGGGAACUGAAACAUCUAAGUACCCCGAGGAAAAGAAAUCAACCGAGAUUCCCCCAGUAGCGGCGAGCGAACGGGGAGGAGCCCAGAGCCUGAAUCAGCAUGUGUGUUAGUGGAAGCGUCUGGAAAGGCGCGCGAUACAGGGUGACAGCCCCGUACACAAAAGCGCAUGUGCUGUGAGCUCGAUGAGUAGGGCGGGACACGUGGUAUCCUGUCUGAAUAUGGGGGGACCAUCCUCCAAGGCUAAAUACUCCUGACUGACCGAUAGUGAACCAGUACCGUGAGGGAAAGGCGAAAAGAACCCCGGCGAGGGGAGUGAAAAAGAACCUGAAACCGUGUACGUACAAGCAGUGGGAGCACCCUUUUGGGUGUGACUGCGUACCUUUUGUAUAAUGGGUCAGCGACUUAUAUUCUGUAGCAAGGUUAACCGAAUAGGGGAGCCGGAGGGAAACCGAGUCUUAAU
rnacentral:rRNA from 1 species